GUUUGAUCCUGGCUCAGGAUGAACGCUGGCGGCGUGCUUAACACAUGCAAGUCGAACGAACCUUCGGGUUAGUGGCGGACGGGUGAGUAACGCGUGAGAAUCUGCCCUCAGGAGGGGGAUAACGGCUGGAAACGGCCGCUAAUACCCCAUAUGCCGAGAGGUGAAACGAGUUUUCGCCUGAGGAUGAGCUCGCGUCUGAUUAGCUAGUUGGUGGGGUAAGAGCCUACCAAGGCAUCGAUCAGUAGCUGGUCUGAGAGGAUGAUCAGCCACACUGGGACUGAGACACGGCCCAGACUCCUACGGGAGGCAGCAGUGGGGAAUUUUCCGCAAUGGGCGAAAGCCUGACGGAGCAACGCCGCGUGAGGGAUGAAGGCCUCUGGGCUGUAAACCUCUUUUAUCAAGGAAGAAGAUCUGACGGUACUUGAUGAAUAAGCCACGGCUAAUUCCGUGCCAGCAGCCGCGGUAAUACGGGAGUGGCAAGCGUUAUCCGGAAUUAUUGGGCGUAAAGCGUCCGCAGGCGGCCUGAUAAGUCUGUUGUCAAAGCGUGGAGCUCAACUCCAUUUCGGCAAUGGAAACUGUGAGGCUUGAGUGUGGUAGGGGCAGAGGGAAUUCCCGGUGUAGCGGUGAAAUGCGUAGAUAUCGGGAAGAACACCAGUGGCGAAGGCGCUCUGCUGGGCCAUAACUGACGCUCAUGGACGAAAGCCAGGGGAGCGAAAGGGAUUAGAUACCCCUGUAGUCCUGGCCGUAAACGAUGAACACUAGGUGUCGGGGGAAUCGACCCCCUCGGUGUCGUAGCCAACGCGUUAAGCGUUCCGCCUGGGGAGUACGCACGCAAGUGUGAAACUCAAAGGAAUUGACGGGGGCCCGCACAAGCGGUGGAGUAUGUGGUUUAAUUCGAUGCAACGCGAAGAACCUUACCAGGGUUUGACAUCCUGCGAAUCCCUUGGAAACGAGGGAGUGCCUUCGGGAGCGCAGAGACAGGUGGUGCAUGGCUGUCGUCAGCUCGUGUCGAGAGAUGUUGGGUUAAGUCCCGCAACGAGCGCAACCCACGUCUUUAGUUGCCAGCAUUGAGUUGGGCACUCUAGAGAGACCGCCGGUGAUAAACCGGAGGAAGGUGUGGAUGACGUCAAGUCAUCAUGCCCCUUACAUCCUGGGCUACACACGUACUACAAUGCUACGGACAAAGGGCAGCAAACUCGCGAGAGCUAGCAAAUCCCAUAAACCGUGGCUCAGUUCAGAUCGUAGGCUGCAACUCGCCUACGUGAAGGAGGAAUCGCUAGUAAUCGCAGGUCAGCAUACUGCGGUGAAUACGUUCCCGGGCCUUGUACACACCGCCCGUCACACCAUGGAAGUUGGCCACGCCCGAAGCCGUUACUCCAACCCUUGUGGAGGAGGACGUCGAAGGUGGGGCUGAUGACUGGGGUGUCG
rnacentral:rRNA from 1 species